rnacentral:lncRNA from 1 species
GGCCGAGUAUCGAUGGAUAUCGAUAAGAAUUAAAACCAAGAAUCACGGUUUUGACAAAAAAAACAAAAAUACAAGAAAAAAAAAACAAGAAAAAAAAACUAAGAAUCAGGACAUCUGUAAAAACAAGUGCAAGCCUGUGGGUUAGUGAUAGUGCACGCCGCCACGGUGCUUUUGUUGGGAUGUUUCUUUAGGCAAGUAUUCAAGCAAACCGAAUAUUCACACUUAUCCACCCGCAUAGAGUCUUCGCAAUAAUUAACAAUUUUGUUCAUAGUCGAUUCAGCUGUAAAUACAAAUAUUCAGAAAUUUUUGAAGCUUAAUUUCAUAAAAUAUUAUGACUAGAACGAGAAGUUAGAAGGGUCACCUGAACACAGAAGGGCUACCAGGCAGAAACAGAAGAAUUGUAGCUUUGCCAUUAUUCUAGUA